rnacentral:ncRNA from 1 species
CGAUAGAGGUGCGGCAGACAUGAUUAGCUCCAUUCGCAGCGCAGGCAACGCCGGAGUGAAAGGGGACGCCGCCGAAGGGUCCCCCGCAUUCCUGUGCGGGCGAUGCCUGGGCCGCCGGAGAACAUCCGGCGGACUGUCGCAGCGAUGGUCUGCGGAGCGCUGUCA